ACGGAAGGCAGCAGUGGGGAAUUUUCGCAAUGGGGGAAACCCUGACGCAGCAACGCCGCGUGCGGGACGGAGGCCUUCGGGCUGUAAACCGCUUUCAGCAGGGAAGACAACGACGGUACCUGCAGAAGAAGCUCCGGCUAACUACGUGCCAGCAGCCGUGGUAAUACGUAGGGGGCGAGCGUUAUCCGGAUUCAUUGGGCGUAAAGCGCGCGUAGGCGGCUGCCUAAGCGGAGUUUCUAACCUUGGGGCUCAACCUCAAGCCGGACUCCGAACUGGGCGGCUCGAGUGCGGUAGGGGCAGGCGGAAUUCCACGUGUAGCGGUGAAAUGCGCAGAUAUGUGGAGGAACACCGAUGGCGAAGGCAGCCUGCUGGGCCGACACUGACGCUGAGGCGCGAAAGCCGGGGGAGCGAACAGGAUUAGAUACCCUGGUA
rnacentral:rRNA from 1 species